GGCGCCGCCAGGCAGCGCUCGCCGAGCGCCGGCCGCGGGAGCCAGGCAGCGCUGCGGAGCGCCGAGAGCCCCGGGUGCGUGUGGAGAAGGGGGGAGGUUCCCAGACAAAAGGCGAAGCGCAAUGAAAUGGGCUCCCGGGCCGUGCCGGCCCCUCCGGCCCGACCCCCGGCUUCACCCCGAGAAGCGCUGCUCAGGGGUAGUUUUCCCUAAACUUUCAGCUCAGCGCCUGUUGAGGAGCUCACGCAUAACGCGCUGCACAACGUGUCCUAAGCGAGUCAGCCAUUUUAGGGCUGCACGGCCUCCCUCAGCUGUCAGAUCCAGGAUCAGGAAUUCAUACAACUGAGAUGGAGACAAGGAAAAAACUUUUGCAUUAGCCAAAUACCACCCUAUACUGUCUCAAUUCCUUCUAAGUCUUUAAACUAGUCUAAACUUUGUAUAUGGCCAUGAUAUACAUAUGCAAUUAUAAAGUUUGACAUAAAUCUGUAAUAUGUACCAUCA